rnacentral:rRNA from 1 species
ACACACGCUACAAUGGUCUGUACAAUAGGUUGCCAAGCCGCGAGGCGGAGCCAAUCCUAAAAGCAGGCCUCAGUUCAGAUUGCGAGUCUGCAACUCGACUGCAUGAAGUUGGAGUUGCUAGUAAACGCAGGUCAGCUAUACUGCGUUGAAUUACCGGUUCCCCGGGGAUU